rnacentral:rRNA from 1 species
AGAGUUUGAUCAUGGCUCAGAUUGAACGCUGGCGGCAGGCCUAACACAUGCAAGUCGAGCGGUAGCACAAGAGAGCUUGCUCUCUGGGUGACGAGCGGCGGACGGGUGAGUAAUGUCUGGGAAACUGCCUGAUGGAGGGGAUAACUACUGGAAACGGUAGCUAAUACCGCAUAACGUCUUCGGACCAAAGUGGGGGACCUUCGGGCCUCACGCCAUCAGAUGUGCCCAGAUGGGAUUAGCUAGUAGGUGGGGUAAUGGCUCACCUAGGCGACGAUCCCUAGCUGGUCUGAGAGGAUGACCAGCCACACUGGAACUGAGACACGGUCCAGACUCCUACGGGAGGCAGCAGUGGGGAAUAUUGCACAAUGGGCGCAAGCCUGAUGCAGCCAUGCCGCGUGUGUGAAGAAGGCCUUCGGGUUGUAAAGCACUUUCAGCGAGGAGGAAGGGUAGUGUGUUAAUAGCACAUUGCAUUGACGUUACUCGCAGAAGAAGCACCGGCUAACUCCGUGCCAGCAGCCGCGGUAAUACGGAGGGUGCAAGCGUUAAUCGGAAUUACUGGGCGUAAAGCGCACGCAGGCGGUUUGUUAAGUCAGAUGUGAAAUCCCCGCGCUUAACGUGGGAACUGCAUUUGAAACUGGCAAGCUAGAGUCUUGUAGAGGGGGGUAGAAUUCCAGGUGUAGCGGUGAAAUGCGUAGAGAUCUGGAGGAAUACCGGUGGCGAAGGCGGCCCCCUGGACAAAGACUGACGCUCAGGUGCGAAAGCGUGGGGAGCAAACAGGAUUAGAUACCCCGGUAGU